rnacentral:rRNA from 1 species
GACGAACGCUGGCGGCGUGCUUAACACAUGCAAGUCGAACGGAAAGGCCCUCACCUUGGUGGGGGUGCUCGAGUGGCGAACGGGUGAGUAACACGUGGGUGAUCUGCCCUGUACUUCGGGAUAAGCUUGGGAAACUGGGUCUAAUACCGGAUAGGACCAUGGUUUAGUGUCUCAUGGUGGAAAAAUUAUUGUUUUGGUGCAGGAUGAGCUCGCGGCCUAUCAGCUUGUUGGUGGGGUAAUGGCCUACCAAGGCGUCGACGGGUAGCCGGCCUGAGAGGGUGGACGGCCACAUUGGGACUGAGAUACGGCCCAGACUCCUACGGGAGGCAGCAGUGGGGAAUAUUGCACAAUGGGCGCAAGCCUGAUGCAGCGACGCCGCGUGGGGGAUGACGGCCUUCGGGUUGUAAACUCCUUUCGUUAGGGACGAAGCCACACUUUUUUUGGGUGUGGUGACGGUACCUUUGUUAAGAAGCACCGGCUAACUACGUGCCAGCAGCCGCGGUAAUACGUAGGGUGCGAGCGUUGUCCGGAAUUACUGGGCGUAAAGAGCUCGUAGGUGGUUUGUUGCGUCGUCUGUGAAAUUCCGGGGCUUAACUUCGGGGUGGCAGGCGAUACGGGCAUAACUAGAGUGCUGUAGGGGAGACUGGAAUUCCUGGUGUAGCGGUGGAAUGCGCAGAUAUCAGGAGGAACACCGAUGGCGAAGGCAGGUCUCUGGGCAGUAACUGACGCUGAGGAGCGAAAGCAUGGGGAGCGAACAGGAUUAGAUACCCUGGUAGUCCAUGCUGUAAACGGUGGGCGAUAGGUGUGGGGGCCGGUUUGGUUUCUGUGCCGUAGCUAACGCAUUAAGCGCCCCGCCUGGGGAGUACGGCCGCAAGGCUAAAACUCAAAGGAAUUGACGGGGGCCCGCACAAGCGGCGGAGCAUGUGGAUUAAUUCGAUGCAACGCGAAGAACCUUACCUGGGUUUGACAUGCACCAGACGGUUGUAGAGAUACGUACCUCCCUUUGUGGUUGGUGUGCAGGUGGUGCAUGGUUGUCGUCAGCUCGUGUCGUGAGAUGUUGGGUUAAGUCCCGCAACGAGCGCAACCCUUGUCUUACGUUGCCAGCACGUUUGGGUGGGGACUCAUGAGAGACUGCCGGGGUUAACUCGGAGGAAGGUGGGGAUGACGUCAAAUCAUCAUGCCCUUUAUGCCCAGGGCUUCACACAUGCUACAAUGGUUAGUACAACGCGCGGCGAGCCUGUGAGGGUGAGCGAAUCGCUGAAAGCUAAUCUCAGUUCGGAUUGGGGUCUGCAACUCGACCCCAUGAAGUCGGAGUCGCUAGUAAUCGCAGAUCAGCAAUGCUGCGGUGAAUACGUUCCCGGGCCU